AUUGAACGCUGGCGGCAGGCCUAACACAUGCAAGUCGAACGAGUGGCGGACGGGUGAGUAAUGUCUGGGAACCUGCCUGAUUGAGGGGGAUAACUACUGGAAACGGUAGCUAAUACCGCAUACCCUCAGAUGUGCCCAGAGGGGAUUAGCUUGUUGGUGGGGUAACGGCUCACCAGGGCGACGAUCCCUAGCUGGUCUGAGAGGAUGACCAGCCACACGGGAACUGAGACACGGUCCAGAGGCCUAGGAGAGGCAGCAGUGGGGAAUAGUGAAAAAUGGGCGAAAGCAUGAUGCAGCAAUGCAGCGUGGAUGAAGAAGGCCUGCGGGUUGUAAAGUACUUUCAGCGGGGAGGCGUUACCCGCAGAAGAAGCGCCGGCUAACUACGUGCCAGCCGCCGCGGUAAUAC
rnacentral:rRNA from 1 species